CGUGAUCGCAGCCGCCUCCCAGGAAACUGGAGCGGGACAGUAAGUUCCCGAAGAAAGUCCUGGCCGGCGGGGAGCGCCGUGCACUGAGCCCUGACUCCCACCGCCCUCCUUCCACCUCCCGGCUCGCACCUGGGGCCGUGCAAGACGAGCCGGCUCUGGAGAUUUGCAGUGAGGACAGGCAAACAGAGACUGGACAACACAGAGUGGGCUGCAGCGGUGAGACGGCGAGUGAAUACCUAUGAGCCUCGGUGAUUCAUCAUUCCAAGGAGCUCUUGCUUUAAUCACAGAGGGCUGCCAGAUGAGGAAGACCAUGAGGAUUUAUGACUUUGGGGCAGAGUGACAUCUGUCCUAGGCGUUCCAACCCAAAGCUACAAAUCGAUGCUUUUAUUAGAAAGUGACGGCAUUCGUGGUGAAGGGUUGAACACCCAGACGCUCCCCAGCACAAAACUGCCGUGUGAAAGAGCAACCCCUGCUUGACCCACGGAAAAAAUCAAUCUCAAAUUAAAGCUUUUCAACGGCUGAGAGAUCCAUCUGCAGGAUCUUCUCUAGCUAAGGUGAUCUCGCCUUUCUGAGUGUUGGGCUUCCUGUUUUGUCACAGACAUGAGAAGUGUGGAGUUUAGUGCUAGGACACUGUAAGCAGCAAUUAGCCAUGAAGCAUCGCCCAGUGCUGCCGUCAUCCCUCCAUGGUCACUUUGUCUCACUGCUCCACUUUCAGAGAGACCUUUUUACCCCCCAUUCUGCUGUUUUAGAUGAUGUUUGGUGUCUGCGUCACGUUUUACAUAAGACUGAUGCUCCCUCCACAGCUGCACUUCUCCUCUACCACAACCAGCUGGGUCCUGUCAGCAAGCAGCAGUGCCUACAGGUCAUGGAAAAAGGGAAGCUUCCCUCAAAACUUGUGGUGGGAGUGUACAGCUAGAAAUUAAGAGACUUGGGCUCUAUCAUCCCUUGCAAUAUUCACAUGUGCGGGUGAAUAGUUUGUUAUCUCUGUGACUUGGUCUCCCCAUCUCUGAAAUGGAAAAGUUACCUUUCUGGAGCGAUUAUUAACAAAAAUGGAUUUGAGGCUUUCAGCCAUGAGGAGAUAUAAAAAUGCAAGUUAUUAAUAUGGGCAACAGCCGUGGCCUGAUUACACUCAGAAAUAAAGAGAAUGAACUAAAAGAGGGACAUAGUUAAUGCUUUCAUAUCUCCUACUGCACAUCCCUCUGUAUAAACCAAGAAAUGCAUUUUAUUUUAGCAGCGGGACCUGCUCUGGUAGAGCAGGGAGGUACAGGGGGACCUUCUGCAGGGCCCUCUCCCAGACUGACCUGCUCCAGCAGAGGUGAUACCUGCCUUCUGGCCUCAAAGAAAUUUCCAUGGCAAUCAUGUCACCUUUCCAGCCCUAUUUUAAUCACUUUAAAGCCGUGAGCCUUUCCAGCCUUCAAACACUCAAAUCGCUGAGAUGUGUCAGCCCAUACCUGCUGCAAGGACUGAGCCACGUGGCUGCUGAGGUGACCAUUACAGAGCUCCAUCAGGGUAGUUUAGGGCUGGAUGAUUGUUCUGUUUGAUUUGGGUUUUCAGUAGCUGUAAAAACAGCACAAAUACUUCCUUUCCUACUGCAUGUCCUGCAGUUAUUUGUAGAAAGCAAAGUCAGGGGCGGUUAUGUUCACAAGUCGAUGCCCAUUUUGUCGUCACAAAUCUGUGGAGCUGAGAGCUGAUACAGGAUAAUGGACACCUGGUGCUGCAAAGGCGAUGCUUUUCUUCAGAGAGAACACGAAAUCCUGUGUGAAGCCCAUUAUGCCACCGUGGUGUCUGCCUUGCUGCCUCUGAGGAAUGCUUGGAAAGAGGAGGGUCACCACUCUCAGAGCUGCUGGAGGCUGCCACUUCUCACUCUGCACUAGUUGACUGGGCUAUCAUUAGCUGGUAGGAGACCAAGCAAAACGCUCACCUCCUGAGAAAGGCAACCUGCUCAAAGCCUUAGGGCUGUUUUGUAAUAACACUCUGCUACUAGGCUCCAUUUGCUUUCAAGGGUGAUAAGAAAUGAAGCAUUUGGGGAAGGAACUUUUGAGGAACUCAACCACUUGAGCUUUCAUUGCAACCUCAUGGCAUAAUUUUACCAUUUUAUUAGGAAAUACUGCUAUCUUUUUCUUGAACUCAAAUCAAUCAGAAAGGUACCAUCAGUAACCAGAAUCACCAUUCAAGUUUCUGUAUGGAAGUAUCUUCACCUGAAACUUCUAAAAUGUUAUGCCAAAAUGUUGGUAUAACAUAUUCAUACUUCUACUUUCACUUCUGCAGUGGGUCACUCUACCCACUACAUAUGCUAUUUCUGAGGAUGUGAUUUUUUUCCAUCAUGGAUGGGAAAGAUGAGAACUAUAUUCCAAGUCAUUACUGUGGCUUUACUCAGUUAUCAAGGGAAAACAUUAAAAAUACUUUGACUCUUACGUAAAAUAGAACAGUAUCAAACACAUACUUUUAUUUUCUCUUCAUUUCUACGUGACAAGUCAGCAGCACAUUUGAAGUUCCUACAGUAAUGUGAAACACAUUCUAUCAUUUUCUUUGGAAAAAUAUUUCCUGUGGUGUUGCCUCUAUAUGUGCAAGGCAAUUGUUUACAUGGCUGGUUCCUAAGCUCUAUACAUUUGCAUCUGAAAGAUCAGAAAAAAAUGGACAAGCUUGAAAAUGUCAUCUCAGUUGGGACUUUGGAUCACAGAAGGUUCUUAAUAAUGACAAUGGUUCUUGGGAUAAGAUGAUGGAGAGUUUGAAAGAGAAAAAAAAAGGUGAUAUUGUCAAGACAUCCCUGGUGACUUUAAGGAGAGUUUUGCAAAGAUACAACAGAGCUGAUGGUGCUGUGGACUGUGAUACUCCAAACUUUUUAUCAGCUUAGCACUUCUGGUCUGGAGAAAAUCUGAAUUUUGCCUGUUUCCUGCUCUCUGAAAGGGGAUGAAUAAACAGCCUUGGAAAACAACAGACUCCAAAAUCUGCCAUUAGAGUAUUUCUAAUGUUUUAAGGACCUGAGAUCCAAUCAGGGGGUGUAGUUAAUAUUUCAGUAACAUACCUCAUACAGUUUUCUUCACUUCUUAACCUCCAACUUGGUACAACACUUGCAACAUGUAGUGUCAUGGACAGGCACCAAGAAUGCUGCACAUACAAUAGGAAAAAUGCAGCAGUGACACAUACAUAUCUACAGCUGUGUAUGUGCACACAUGCUUCCAUUCAGGUGAGCUCAGGCAGCCUGAAUUUCCCAGGCUGACGUGUUAUUUACCCUUCUCUCAACCUUGGAAGAUUUUUCCUGGAGCUCAUAACCUGCCCCUCUCUAACAAGGCUGGGUCUGGGGAAUGGACCUUCCUGUGAGUAUCUUCCAUCAGGCUCACCUUCCAUCCCAGGUGGUGUUAAGUAAACCCUAGGAACUGAACUCUUGAACUCGACCUUUGUACCCAAAUACCUUCAUAAAUAAAUGCUUGGGUAACAAGGGAGGAGAAGAUGGAAGGAUUCAGGAGAAAAACAGCACAUGCAGAACUCAGCUGAGCUGUCUGGUCACUACAUCCUUACACAAAGGUGAUUGGAGAGGUUUCCUGAUGGAUGACAUCAUUCACAAGAGCUCUGUCUGUAGCUGUCAGCACAGAAAGAGGUCCUUAAAAUUCCAGGAGCUGAAGCCUUGCAAUCCAUCAGGGAAAGGAACACAGACAUCCACCCUCCCCCUUGGCCAGCACAGGAGCCCAAACGAUGCAAACUCUCAAGAAACAUUUUUCUGUCAGAACUGAAACAGACUGUGAUGUUCAGCAGCACAUUUCUGCACUAGAGAAACAUUCUUGGUACAGUAUUUUUGCUCUUUGUCUGAUGUUUUUUCCAAGGAUUUUCUGAUUAAUCACAGAGCUGAUGGAUGAUAGCAGUCAUGCCCCGCCUGCUACUAACACACACAAGUCUUGCCAGAGGUGAAGUAGAUUUAAUUUGCUUUUAUUUAAAAGUUUUUGCUCAGUAAUACUUUCAUGGCCUGAUCUGGCACUGGUGGUCAAGCAACAUUCCCAGUCCCAUCAAGAUCCUGAUCUGACUGUAUAUGAAUCUUUUAUAUGAAUCUUUGGUUUGAUGCUUUUCUGGUUAUCACUGCAACUGUUUGUAGGGCAACACAUCCUUCCACCUGGUGAUUUUGGCAUGUGUAAGAAAGGGACUAAAUCUUCAGGUGACAUGGCUUAGGGAAACUUGCUGCUGGAGACAUUAAAUAUCAUGAACUAUACUAAAAGAAAAUAUCCUAAUCCUGAUUAGAAGCUUUUUUUCUUUGAAGGUAGAGUGUAAUGAUUUUGAUGUGCUGAUAGUAAUACACGCAGCAAAGAUCCACCAACUUAACUGGAAGGAACCACUUAAAAAUUCAAAUUUGUUUAAAAGAAAAGUUGACAAAACUCUCUUUAAGAGAUAUGAAACAUGCAUAUCAAACAAGAUAGCUACAAAACAUGAUAUGAACAAAAUAAAAUAAUUCUUUGAAAUAGAAGCCACUGAUCAAGUUACUUUUUAAUUUACUAUUUCUAUAACAGAAAAAGUUGUCUUCUUCACACAUCUGGGCUUGAAUUCUGCAAUACAGAAUGUGGAUGCUGUCAAAUGAGCCAACAUACUGGCUAACCAUAAUUUGUAACCCAUUCAGCAAAAUAAAUAAACUUUU